rnacentral:rRNA from 1 species
AUUGAACGCUGGCGGCAGGCCUAACACAUGCAAGUCGAACGGUAACAGGAAGCAGCUUGCUGCUUCGCUGACGAGUGGCGGACGGGUGAGUAAUGUCUGGGAAGCUGCCUGAUGGAGGGGGAUAACUACUGGAAACGGUAGCUAAUACCGCAUAAUGUCGCAAGACCAAAGAGGGGGACCUUCGGGCCUCUUGCCAUCGGAUGUGCCCAGAUGGGAUUAGCUUGUUGGUGGGGUAACGGCUCACCAAGGCGACGAUCCCUAGCUGGUCUGAGAGGAUGACCGGCCGCACUAGAACUGAGACACGGUCCAGGCUCCUACGGGAGGCAGCAGUGGGGAAUAUUGGACAAUGGGCGCAAGCCUGAUGCAGCCAUGCCGAGUGUAUGAAGAAGGCCUUCGGGUUGUAAAGUACUUUCAGCGGGGAGGAAGGGAGUAAAGUUAAUACCUUUGCUCAUUGACGUUACCCGCAGAAGAAGCACCGGCUAACUCCGUG